AAUCCUAAUAAUGCGUGCCUGGUACCUACCUCUACCAUGGGGUAAUCCUAAUAAUACAUGCCUGGUACCUACCUCUACCAUGGGCUAAUCCUAAUAAUGCAUGCCUGGUACCUACCUCUACCAUGGGCUAAUCCUAAUAAUGCGUGCCUGGUACCUACCUCUACCAUGGGCUAAUCCUAAUAAUGCGUGCUUGGUACCUACCUCUACCAUGGCGUAUCCUUGCCAGUCAUACAGCUCACAUAUAG